ACUAACUGGAGGACCGAACCGACUAAUGUUGAAAAAUUAGCGGAUGACCUGUGGCUGGGGGUGAAAGGCCAAUCAAACCGGGAGAUAGCUGGUUCUCCCCGAAAGCUAUUUAGGUAGCGCCUCGUGAAUUCAUCUCCGGGGGUAGAGCACUGUUUCGGCUAGGGGGCCAUCCCGGCUUACCAACCCGAUGCAAACUGCGAAUACCGGAGAAUGUUAUCACGGGAGACACACGGCGGGUGCUAACGUCCGUCGUGAAGAGGGAAACAACCCAGACCGCCAGCUAAGGUCCCAAAGUCAUGGUUAAGUGGGAAACGAUGUGGGAAGGCCCAGACAGCCAGGAUGUUGGCUUAGAAGCAGCCAUCAUUUAAAGAAAGCGUAAUAGCUCACUGGUCGAGUCGGCCUGCGCGGAAGAUGUAACGGGGCUAAACCAUGCACCGAAGCUGCGGCAGCGACGCUGAUGCGUUGUUGGGUAGGGGAGCGUUCUGUAAGCCUGCGAAGGUGUGUCGUGAGGCAUGCUGGAGGUAUCAGAAGUGCGAAUGCUGACAUAAGUAACGAUAAAGCGGGUGAAAAGCCCGCUCGCCGGAAGACCAAGGGUUCCUGUCCAACGUUAAUCGGGGCAGGGUGAGUCGACCCCUAAGGCGAGGCCGAAAGGCGUAGUCGAUGGGAAACGGGUUAAUAUUCCCGUACUUGGUGUUACUGCGAAGGGGGGACGGAGAAGGCUAUGUUGGCCGGGCGACGGUUGUCCCGGUUUAAGCGUGUAGGUGUGUGUUCCAGGUAAAUCCGGUUCACUUUAACACUGAGGCGUGAUGACGAGGCACUACGGUGCUGAAGCAACAAAUGCCCUGCUUCCAGGAAAAGCCUCUAAGCAUCAGGUAACAUCAAAUCGUACCCCAAACCGACACAGGUGGUCAGGUAGAGAAUACCAAGGCGCUUGAGAGAACUCGGGUGAAGGAACUAGGCAAAAUGGUGCCGUAACUUCGGGAGAAGGCACGCUGACACGUAGGUGAAGUGAUUUACUCAUGGAGCUGAAGUCAGUCGAAGAUACCAGCUGGCUGCAACUGUUUAUUAAAAACACAGCACUGUGCAAACACGAAAGUGGACGUAUACGGUGUGACGCCUGCCCGGUGCCGGAAGGUUAAUUGAUGGGGUCAGCGCAAGCGAAGCUCCUGAUCGAAGCCCCGGUAAACGGCGGCCGUAACUAUAACGGUCCUAAGGUAGCGAAAUUCCUUGUCGGGUAAGUUCCGACCUGCACGAAUGGCGUAAUGAUGGCCAGGCUGUCUCCACCCGAGACUCAGUGAAAUUGAACUCGCUGUGAAGAUGCAGUGUACCCGCGGCAAGACGGAAAGACCCCGUGAACCUUUACUAUAGCUUGACACUGAACAUUGAGCCUUGAUGUGUAGGAUAGGUGGGAGGCUUUGAAGUGUGG
rnacentral:rRNA from 1 species